rnacentral:rRNA from 1 species
AUUGAACGCUGGCGGCAGGCCUAACACAUGCAAGUCGAGCGGAUGAAGGGAGCUUGCUCCUGGAUUCAGCGGUGGACGGGUGAGUAAUGCCUAGGAAUCUGCCUGGUAGUGGGGGAUAACGUGCGGAAACGGGAGCUAAUACCGCAUACGUCCUGAGGGAGAAAGUGGGGGAGCUUCGGACCUCACGCUAUCAGAUGAGCCUAGGUCGGAUUAGCUAGGUGGUGGGGUAAAGGCCUACAAAGGCGACGAUCCGUAACUGGUCUGAGAGGAUGAUCAGUCACACUGGAACUGAGACACGGUCCAGACUCCUACGGGAGGCAGCAGUGGGGAAUAUUGGACAAUGGGCGAAAGCCUGAUCCAGCCAUGCCGCGUGUGUGAAGAAGGUCUUCGGAUUGUAAAGCACUUUAAGUUGGGAGGAAGGGCAGUAAGUUUAUCCCUUGCUGUUUUGACGUUACCAACAGAAUAAGCACCGGCUAACUUCGUG